GAUUAAAUCGUGAUCGUCGGUUGUGAAGGAAGAAGGGAAGUCGUCUUCCUCACUUGGGAACCCUAGUGCUAUGCCUGAGUGAGCGAGACCUCCAUGAUCGGAACUUGCCACGGCACGUCGCUGUUCCUACAUUGCCUUUGCCACAAGAACAACAUGGUCGCCGACCUUUAGAUACUCUGAAGAAACAAGGCAUUGGGAUUCUUCUUGCAUACCGAGUUGGUAGAUCCGUUUGAGCGAGGAAACAGGAUCCGUAGCGAGAAUCUGGCUUCGAAAAGGCUGAAGAACGGUGUACGGAAGCUAGUAUACUCUGCACAAUAUGGGUGAUGGAAAGCUAAAUGGAGGAAGAUGUGCAUUGCUUUCUCAUAUUGAAACUAUACGAGUACAAUCCUAUUUGUAGUACAUCAUCAAGUAAAUCAUCCAUGAUAGAAGACUACCGAAAGAGAGAGAGGGACAGUACUGCGACCACUGAGCAGCGAGUGACUGCAAAGAGGACUUGAGAUUGAAACGGAAGCAUCUCUCUCUCUUCAUGUUCCACGAGACGACGAUGAUGAUUGAUGAGAAGAGAAGACGGAGAAGUCGGAGCGAGAAAGGGCAGUGUCGAUAGGUGUGUAGGAGCUGCGGCGAUAUUGCUGCCCAGAUUUUGCCACGUCGGCAACGUCAUAGACAAGCUAAAAGUGCGGAGGUCAAUCUGAUGGUCUACCGAAGGCGGAGGGUUUGCUUCGGCAUGGAGCCGAAGAUAAGCCAGUAAUUCCACGGGGUAGGGCCUCUCCAUCUUGAUGUCCAAACACACGAUGGUGCUUCGAUUCCCAGUAUAUCAAUUUUUCCUCCUCUUUGAAAGUGCGAGGAUGGACAGAUAGCCUGAGUACUACCGCUAAUGGUAUUAUAAGAGUGUCAUAUCCAUUUCAUAAUAUUUUAUCACGAUUGCUCAGCACCAUCGAUGAUAUGAAAGUAUGCGAGAUUUGUCGAUAUCGGGGGGCAGAGCUCCAUUAUGAGA